UUGAUUUAUUUUUUUUUCGGCUUGCGCCACUCAGAAGAUUCAUUCGUAAAAAACAAGAGUUUGGGGCCUCCGGCGGGCGCCUGGUUCCGGGGCGCGAGGCACCCGGGGCGGUCCCGCCGAAGCAACGAUAGGUAUGUUCACAUGGGGUUUGGGAGUUGUAAACUCGGUAAUGAUCCCUCCGCUGGUUCACCAACGGAGA
rnacentral:misc_RNA from 1 species